GACGAACGCUGGCGGCGUGCUUAACACAUGCAAGUCGAACGGAAAGGCCCUGCUUUUGUGGGGUGCUCGAGUGGCGAACGGGUGAGUAACACGUGAGUAACCUGCCCUUGACUUUGGGAUAACUUCAGGAAACUGGGGCUAAUACCGGAUAGGAGCUCCUGCUGCAUGGUGGGGGUUGGAAAGUUUCGGCGGUUGGGGAUGGACUCGCGGCUUAUCAGCUUGUUGGUGGGGUAGUGGCUUACCAAGGCUUUGACGGGUAGCCGGCCCGGGAGGGUGACCGGCCACAUUGGGACUGAGAUACGGCCCAGACUCCUACGGGAGGCAGCAGUGGGGAAUAUUGCACAAUGGGCGGAAGCCUGAUGCAGCAACGCCGCGUGCGGGAUGACGGCCUUCGGGUUGUAAACCGCUUUCGCCUGUGACGAAGCGUGAGUGACGGUAAUGGGUAAAGAAGCACCGGCUAACUACGUG
rnacentral:rRNA from 1 species